rnacentral:lncRNA from 1 species
CACGUAGUCCUUUUUUCUCUUCUUGCCACUUGGUGGCGUUGUAUUGUCGCUUCGGCGUUGUACUAGCCUUCUGGUUUUUCUUCUUUAAUCGAUGAUGCACCCGAUGGGUGGCGUUCUUGAAAAAAAAAAAAAAGUACUCCACUUAUGUGCACCCUGAAACCCUUACCAUCCCUGCACGACAACGCAUUCGCGUUUCUACACACCGCGGCUUCUUCCAUACUUUUGUUCGAGCGUAUGCACUGCCGUCUGGCCUCCGGGGAAAGCCGAAGCUGGCCCGGACGCGACGCCUCGUCCCACAUCGACACUUGGCUCCUGGUGGGCUUCAGGUGAUCACCUCCCCAGAUGCGAGCACAGCGCACGCACGCCGGAAUCCAGGA